ensembl:snoRNA LOC120103349 small nucleolar RNA SNORA40
UAUAGUUUUUUUUUCUUUUGUUCAACUGGUAGACAAAGGCAUGAAAGACAGGUGCAAAAAUAAAUCAUCUUUUGCAACUAACAACUCACUGUACAGUAUGAGUUUUGAUACAUGUAAGAAGAAGUAUA